ensembl:lncRNA
GUAAGGGUUAGGGGUAGGGUGUAGGGGUUAGGGAUUUACAGUGAAAAACUGCACAUGAUCUGCAGUAAAUCGGUGAUCAAUCAGACGCGCAGCAGCGUUCACUCUGCAGUGGAAUUUCUUUCUGAAGUGUGCACUAAAUGUAGCAUUUACAUUCAUAAAUUAUGAAUCAGCAUUAGUGAUUAUCAUAAAUCUUAAUCAUAAUCUGGCAUGAGCUUUCUUAAUAAAGGAACGUUCCAUUGUGUCGGAGCUGCACUGCUCCACAUUCCCCUACAUUAUCCUGCCUCCGUUCGAGCAGAUAUAAAAUAUUCACAGGAUAAAAAUACGUAAAAGGAAGUAGACACUGUAAACGCCUGCAUUGUUUUCAGACUAGAGAGAAGACCCAUACAAGAACCACAGGAGAACAAUAAUGCUAUAAAAUAACAGGGUGCUUAAGGCUAGGGGUCUGGGGAGGGGCUUGUUAAUUAUUAUAAACUAAUUCAGUUAUACGUUGCCAAAAUAUUGCUGCACAAACAGCCCUAGUUGUAAAUGUCACAUUAAGCACUUCAACAUCUGGUUUAAUUGCACAAAAUGGCUUCCACACUCAUUAUUCAGCAGCUUAUAGAAUAGCACUUGAUCCAGCACAUGCUAUUAUUACGCAUUUCAUUCUUUUUAUUUAAAAAAAAAUAAUCGUGGCCGGAUACUUCGGUCAGAUUUGACGCGAGAAUAGCGUCUUAUUUCUCACCGAGGGAAAUCCUAGAAUUCGGUCCAUCAAGCGAGAGAGGAAUAUUUGAACAUUUCGAGAACAGGUUUUUUUUUUUGACACCACAGUUUUGCUGCAGUGUUCAAACCGAUCUCUCGUUACUCGACUUUACUUAGCGUCUAGAUUUCAUAUCCUUAAUUAGGCCGGAAAGGUCUAACGAGGCCUCUUAUUUCAGCUGCUUAUCUUGUCUAGCAGGGCAUUCCUGCACCUUGGGAGAAAUCGCCAAACCUUAAGUGUGCAUCAGAGCCAGGCAGAAACCUCACAGGCAUUUAAAACAGCGGCGGCCGAGCCAAGAGCAACGGACUCGCGGACUCGUAGAGCCGAGGGGUUUUUUUUUCACGGCGGUGAAUGAGAGCAUUGUGCGACGUCAUGACACUCAGCCAUUCAAUUAACGCAGAGAGACGCACAGUGCGCCGAAACACUGCUUCUUUCUUCAGCGGCCUCUUUGUGCCGCGAGAAACAGGAAGUCGCUUUUCUUCCGUGUGGGGGCUGAGCUGUGGAGCAGGUCACACUGCUGAGGAAAUUACAGAUCGGCGUAAUCAGUCUGGAUUCCUGUUAUGUCUUAAUGCUGGGCACUUAGCAUGACAAUGCUAAAUAAAUAAUAUUUCCCCUGGAUUGUAGCACACCUGCUGAUGGAGGGAAAUAAACGCCAUGGGCUAGGAAUGUGCAUCUCUCCUUCAGACAUCAUACACAACUCGUAUCAUAUAUAUAUAUAUAUAUAUAUAUAUAUCAAGUGUAUCUGAUAAGCAUUGAGUCCUUUGCUGGGACUGAACAGGCACAGAGGUCACAUCUCCUUGACUAUGACUGACAGACAGAGAGGCCACACCUCCCUCACUAUGACUGACCAUGCAAGACAGGCCACGCCUCCUUCAUUGAAACUGAUUUGAACAGUGCCGAAAUGUACUUCCACUUGACUCGAGGAGUAAUACGGGACAAAUUAGAUAUAGACACGACUUCUGAAUGAGAAUCGACGUACAUAUUAACACACACACACACACACACACACACACACACACACACACGUGUGUAUAUGUGGAUGUAUAGACAUAGUAUCUCCCUACAUCUUAAGGCAUCCUUGCGUUUUCACGUUUUAAUAACUUCCUUUGAACGGCUUUCCUUCACCUUGGCAAUGAGCUUUGAAAUAACGAACAGUUUUAAACAAUUACCAUUUAAAUGAAUAAAUAACAAUAAAGUUUCCUUUACGUCAUUUUGUCCUUGCAUAUGGUAGACAAGCGUUUGCGUGCCAGUGAAAGAGGUGUGGCCUCUGUCCUUGAUUUGGAGCGGAGGCGUGGCCUCAGUGCUUGAUUCAUAGGAGUCCAAUAAAAGUAGGUCUGGUCUCUGUGCUUAAAAGUCACAGUGGAGGAGGUGUGGCCUCGGUGUCUGUCAGUCACAGUGUAGGAGGUGUGGCCUCGGUGUCUGUCAGUCACAGUGUAGGAGGUGUGGCCUCGGUGUCUGUCAGUCACAGUGAAGAAGGUGUGGCCUCUGUUUCUGUCAGUCACAGUGUUGGAUGCGUGGCCUCGGUGUCCGUCAGUCACAGUGUAGGAGGUGUGGCCUCUGUGUCUGUCAGUCACAGUGAAGAAGGUGUGGCCUCUGUUUCUGUCAGUCACAGUGUAGGAGGCAUGGCAUAAUGUCUGUCAGUCACAGUCAAGGAGGUGUGGCCUCUGUGCUUGAUACCUGGAGGAGGUGUGGCCUCUGUGCUUGAGUCACAGUGAAAGAGGCAUAGUGUUGCACCCCAUUAGGCUAACACUUUUUAAAACUGGCUGCACAUCAGUGUCAUAAUGACUUUCUCUCUCACACACACACACACCUGAAAGAUUUACAGAGCAGGUACAGAACAUUAAGUUCCAGUCUCUCAGAGCAGAGCAACAUGAAGUCAGGCUGUGGGUGAGGAGAUCCUCCACACGCUGCUACAGUCAGAUUGCGGAGGUGACACGAAAAGAACGCUACUGUUAUUAACACCGUCUCACACAUAGCAGUACAACGUGACAACAC